CGCGUGUACUGGUCCGGCCGGGCCUUUCCCUCUGUGGAACCCCAUGCCCUUCACUGGGUGUGGCGGGGAAACAGGACUUUUACUGUGAAAAAAUUAGAGUGCUCCAGGCAGGCCUAUGCUCGAAUACAUUAGCAUGGAAUAAUAGAAUAGGACGUGUGGUUCUAUUUUGUUGGUUUCUAGGACCGCCGUAAUGAUUAAUAGGGACAGUCGGGGGCAUCAGUAUUCAAUUGUCAGAGGUGAAAUUCUUGGAUUUAUUGAAGACUAACUACUGCGAAAGCAUUUGCCAAGGAUGUUUUCAUUAAUCAGGAACGAAAGUUAGGGGAUCGAAGACGAUCAGAUACCGUCGUAGUCUUAACCAUAAACUAUGCCGACUAGGGAUCGGACGAUGUUAUAUUUUGACUCGUUCGGCACCUUACGAGAAAUCAAAGUGCUUGGGCUCCAGGGGGAGUAUGGUCGCAAGGCUGAAACUUAAAGAAAUUGACGGAAGGGCACCACCAGGGGUGGAGCCUGCGGCUUAAUUUGACUCAACACGGGGAAACUCACCAGGUCCAGACACAAUGAGGAUUGACAGAUUGAGAGCUCUUUCUUGAUUUUGUGGGUGGUGGUGCAUGGCCGUUCUUAGUUGGUGGAGUGAUUUGUCUGCUUAAUUGCGAUAACGAACGAGACCUUAACCUGCUAAAUAGCCCGUAUUGCUUUGGCAGUACGCUGGCUUCUUAGAGGGACUAUCGG
rnacentral:rRNA from 1 species